AACGUAGGUGGCUAACGUUAUCCGGAUUUACUGGGCGUAAAGCGUGCGUAGGCGGCCAUGUAAGUCAGAUGUAAAAUCUCCUGGCCUAACUGGGAGGGACCAUCUGAUACUGUGUGGCUAGAGUACAGCAGAGGAAAGUGGAAUUCCCGGUGUAGUGGUGGAAUGCGUAGAUAUCGGGAGGAACACCAGUGGCGAAAGCGGCUUUCUGGGCUGUUACUGACGCUGUUGCACAAAAGCGUGGGGAG
rnacentral:rRNA from 1 species